rnacentral:rRNA from 1 species
AUAGAUAUUACGAAGAACAUCAGUGGCGAAGGCGGCCUGCUGGUCUACAACUGACGCUGAGGCACGAAAGCGUGGGGAUCAAACAGGAUUAGAUACCCUGGUAGUCCACGCUGUAAACUAUGAUUACUCGGUGUCGGCGAUAUACUGUCGGUGCCUAAGCGAAAGUGAUAAGUAAUCCACCUGGGGAGUACGAUCGCAAGGUUGAAACUCAAAGGAAUUGACGGGGGCCCGCACAAGCGG